rnacentral:lncRNA from 1 species
UUUUUUCCCAUUUUGUGGGAUUUUCACACGUCUUAGUACUCAAGCAGGGCAGACCAAGAGGACUUUGAUCCCACCAACAUCUGGUAGAAUAAACUGUUACUGCAUGAGGGGCCUCGUGGAGGCCUCCUCUCCACUCUUUCGACCAAAAGUGGUCUGCCUAAAAGCAAGAUGCUCUCACACACCUGGGGAGGCAGGGGAGCAGCAGACGUGGAAAGGUCCAGGGCAGAGGUGGAAGCCUCUGGUCCUUUUUCCCUGUUGCUGAGAGUGGCCUUGGAAACCCUCAGUAAUACUCUGUACACCCAGGGAGGCCGUACACCCAGGGAGGCCAGAAGAGGUCGACAGAAAUAGUUUCCAUCAAAAAAAAAAAAAAAAAAAAAGAAAGAAAGAAAUAGUUUCCAUCUCAAUAUCCUGUGUUUUCCUUUCUCAGAAACCAGAGCAGCUCCACAGCCCAGGCCUGGAGGGGAAGCCAGAGGGAGUUUAUGCAGCAGGAGCCCUGGGCCGGCCCCGCCCGGCUGCCUGCCUGACUGAGGGCUGCCUCUGCAGUUGAGUCGUCCCCAUCCCCUGGGGGACUGUUUUCUCUAAUAAUCCUUUAAUAUUAGGAAAUAUCUGUCAGUGUUUACAAUUUCCUGAAUGUCUUCAAUUUGCUCCCUUUUUUGUGAUGUUUGUUUGAAUGAAGAAUCUAAAGAUCUGUACAUUGUCAUUGAUAGAUAUAUCUCUGAAAUCCUUUGUAGUUUAGUUUACCCUCUAAGUAAAUCCUCUCUCCACUUUUUUAAUGAAAAAAAAAGUGUCCUUUUUAAUGAAAGCAAAGUAAGGUUGUUUAUGCUGCAGUUUCCCAAACCUGAAUUUUUAAAAUUAAAACACAGUAAAGUCCUUGAAGAACCCUCUCUUCCUUGUGUAGCCUGUAAACUGGCAAUUACAUCCAGAGGCCAGAUUCAGAUUUGAUUAUAAUUAAUAUCUCUCUCUCUCUCUCUC